AUGAAAGCCCCGAGAUGGAUCUCAUGGAGCCCGAAGAACCCAGGGAGGAGGUACUACAACUGCGGCAAAGCAUUGGGAGUCGACUGCAGAUAUUUUCUUUGGCAUGAUGAUCCGCACAGUCCAUUUGUGAGCAUGUUGCUUGGUGAUUUGCGCGAUGUUGUGUAUCGACUGAAGGAUCAACUGAGGAAUGAAAAUGGCUUGCUCAACGCCAGCUUGUCGAAGAACAAGAUGUUGGAUGCGUAUGUGUGUGAUUUGGAAGUCAAGCAUCAUGGAGAAGUUGCUGUCCUGAAGAAGAAGAUUCAGAAUCUGCAGUUCUGCCUUGUGGUUGCUGUUCUAUUUUGCCAUUUCCUUCUUUUGGAAAUGAUUUACAUCAUAAAAAAAUUAGUUUGUGAAUGA
rnacentral:rRNA from 1 species